rnacentral:misc_RNA from 1 species
GACAAAUUGGACGAGUCAAGGUCGUCGUCUCCGACGAUCUCUCCUUCCUCAAGUUCCUCAUCUUCAUCACCGCCUCGUCCUCUAGGGUUUUGAUUUGCAAUGGUAUUAGAAAGAUCUUCCGUGGAUGUAGCUUUGAUCGUCUCUUCGACUACCAUUUUCCUUUCACUACUUGUGGAAUUGAGCGUAUCUGAAGAAUCGAAUCAAUGGAAGGAACCGAAGAAUGGC